rnacentral:rRNA from 3 species
CCACCACCAAAGCAUUUGCUGUACCGCGUUGACGGAGCGAAGCGACGUCAAACCGAUAAAACAGCAGUGUAAAGUGAGCCGCAGGGCGCUUUGCGCGACAGCGCAAAGGCAGGCGGUUUCGCGUAGCGAAAGCGAAUGCUUUGGGGUGGGGUGACUGCGUACCUUUUGUAUAAUGGGUCAGCGACUUAUAUUCUGUAGCAAGGUUAACCGAAUAGGGGAGCCGGAGGGAAACCGAGUCUUAAUUGGGCGUUAAGUUGCAGGGUAUAGACCCGAAACCCGGUGAUCUAGCCAUGGGCAGGUUGAAGGUUGGGUAACACUAACUGGAGGACCGAACCGACUAAUGUUGAAAAAUUAGCGGAUGACCUGUGGCUGGGGGUGAAAGGCCAAUCAAACCGGGAGAUAGCUGGUUCUCCCCGAAAGCUAUUUAGGUAGCGCCUCGUGAAUUCAUCUCCGGGGGUAGAGCACUGUUUCGGCUAGGGGGCCAUCCCGGCUUACCAACCCGAUGCAAACUGCGAAUACCGGAGAAUGUUAUCACGGGAGACACACGGCGGGUGCUAACGUCCGUCGUGAAGAGGGAAACAACCCAGACCGCCAGCUAAGGUCCCAAAGUCAUGGUUAAGUGGGAAACGAUGUGGGAAGGCCCAGACAGCCAGGAUGUUGGCUUAGAAGCAGCCAUCAUUUAAAGAAAGCGUAAUAGCUCACUGGUCGAGUCGGCCUGCGCGGAAGAUGUAACGGGGCUAAACCAU